rnacentral:rRNA from 1 species
AGGACUAACGCUGGCGGCGUGCCUAACACAUGCAAGUCGAACGAAGUAGCAAUACUUAGUGGCAGACGGGUGAGUAACACGUAGUCAACCUACCUCUUAAUGGGGGAUAACUAGCCGAAAGGUUAGCUAAUACCGCAUACGAUCGUCGAGUGGCAUCACUUGACGAUGAAAGGAGCAAUCCGUUGAGAGAGGGGACUGCGUCCCAUUAGUUAGUUGGCAGGGUAAUGGCCUACCAAGACUCCGAUGGGUAGCUGGCUUGAGAGAGCGACCAGCCACACUGGAACUGAGACACGGUCCAGACUCCUACGGGAGGCAGCAGUGAGGAAUUUUCCGCAAUGGGGGAACCCUGACGGAGCGACGCCGCGUGUGGGAAGAAGGCCUUCGGGUCGUAAACCACUGUCGAGGGGGACGAUAUUGACGGUACCCCGUGGAGGAAGCCCCGGCUAACGUACGCGCCAGCAGCCGC